rnacentral:tRNA from 1 species
AUUAAAAAAACAAAAUAUUUGUAACUGUUUUCGACACAGUCUUAGGAAAAAAUCCUUUUAAUU